rnacentral:lncRNA from 1 species
CCCUGGUCACGGUAGUUUCUUUGUUGGCAGAAAUUGCAUCAAGAGUAGGAGUAGUUGUUGAUGCAGUGGAAGAGCUGGCGAGACUUGCAGAAUUCAAGCCUGCAAAGGAUCGGAAAUCCAAGCAACACCAACCUACUAAUUAACUUAUUUCAGAUAAUCUAAAUCAUCAAACCAUAUGAAGGGCCAACCCCAGAAGUUUGAGUAGACAUUGACAGAGAAAAUUGAUCUGCUUCUGUGUUUACCUUGUAAAGACGCUUAUAGGUUUGUCAAUUGCUUAUUGCUCGAUCGCUACAUAAAGAAAAUCUUGUUCAUUGCUCGUUUUGUCUAUUGCAUUACAUCUUGCAAUGCACCGACUCUGUUCAUGCGUUUCACUUUAUGCAAUUUUUAUUGCAUAGAUUGCGUCGAAAUAAUAGAUGUUGCAAAAUUCUCAGACCUACAUUGGAUUCUAGGACUGCAUGUUGCUUUACGCCUAAGUUAUAGUAUUCUUACUUUCUAGUUAUACA